CCUACGGGUCGCAGCAGUGGGGAAUAUUUGGCAAUGGGCGCAAGCCUGACCCAGCAACGCCGCGUGAUGGAAGAAGGCCUUCGGGUUGUAAACUUCUUUUGUCAGGGAAGAGUAGAAGACGGUACCUGACGAAUAAGCUACGGCUAACUACGUGCCAGCAGCCGCGGUAAUACGUAGGUGGCGAGCGUUGUCCGGAUUUACUGGGUGUAAAGGGCGUGUAGCCGGGUUGACAAGUCAGAUGUGAAAUCCUGUGGCUUAACCGCAGAACUGCAUUUGAAACUGUUGAUCUUGAGUACUGGAGAGGAAGAUGGAAUUCCUAGUGUAGCGGUGAAAUGCGUAGAUAUUAGGAGGAACACCAGUGGCGAAGGCGGUCUGCUGGACAGCAACUGACGGUGAGGCGCGAAAGCGUGGGGAGCAAACGGGAUUAGAUACCCUAGUAGUC
rnacentral:rRNA from 1 species